AUGGACAACACACUACCAGUAACGGCGCCCACCGCGCACGCGCCCAUGCCGUCGCCGGCGCCGAAGCUUGGAGGUGCAAACAUCGCCAGCCGGUGGCGCGAGCUCCAGGGCUCGGACUCGUGGGUUGGGCUCCUGGACCCGCUGGACUACGACCUCCGACAAUCCAUCAUAUCUUACGGCGAGCUCGCAUCGGCCGCCCACGACGUGUUCAACCUUGAGAAGCGGUCACCUCACGCCGGCUUCUGCUUGUACAGCCGCGACCACCUUCUCGCCGCCUCCACCGUGACCCACCCUGAGUACUACAAGGUCACCAAGUUCCUCUACGCGACCUGCGGGGGAUCAACGGCAUCGAGGUUGGCCACAUCCGUGCCAACGGUGACCAACGCGCUGUUCGUGCAACCGCUGGGAAAGGCCGAGGGGACUCCGACGUCCAACUGGAUGGGUUACGUGGCGGUGGCGACGAACGAGGGAGUUACAGCACUGGGGAGGCGUGACAUCGUCGUGGUGUGGCGCGGCACCGAGAACGAGUUGGAGUGGGAGGAAGACAAGCACUUCCUUCAGGUGUCUGCCGCGCCGGUGUUGGGCCGCUAUGCUGACGAAGAUUACAAGAACGCCAAGGUGCACCGUGGCUUCCUAUCCGUGUACACGUCCAGUGACAACAACUCCAUGUACAACAAGACCAGCGCCAGAGAGCAGGUUCUCGAGGAGGUAGGGAGGCUAAUGGAGGAGUACAAGGACGAGGUGACCAGCAUCACCGUCACCGGCCAUAGCCUUGGAGCGUCACUCGCCACCCUCACCGCCAUCGACCUGGUGGCCAACGACGUCAACGUGCCCCCUAACUCGAAGCAACCGCCGUGCCCCGUGACAGCGAUACUGCUGGCGUGCCCGCGAGUCGGGAACCCCACGUUCAAGUCCGCCUUCGACUCAUUCCACCUCCUGCGGGCACUCCACGUGGCGAACGCCAAAGACCUCGUGCCACAGAACCCUCCCUCUGUGUUGUUAAUGUGGUACGUGGACUGCGCGACAGCAACGAUCGUAAUUGACACGGACCGGUCACCCUACGUGUUUCACAAAAUAUCGACCCACCACGUCCUCGAGUUGUACCUGCACGGUGUCGCAGGGGAUCAUGGCGACAAGGCGGACUUCAAACUAGUGGUUCCCCGCGACGUGGCGCUGGUGAACAAGACUAUCGACCUGCUGACAGACGAAUACCCAGUGCCGGGGAGCUGGUGGGUCAUUAAAAACAAAUGCAUGGUCAAGGGCACCGAUGGCCAGUGGAAACUCGAUGACUUCGAAGAAGCAUAG
rnacentral:rRNA from 1 species